rnacentral:rRNA from 1 species
GAUGAACGCUGGCGGCGUGCCUAAUACAUGCAAGUCGAACGCUUCACUUCGGUGAAGAGUGGCGAACGGGUGAGUAAUACAUAAGUAACCUGGCAUCUACAGGGGGAUAACUGAUGGAAACGUCAGCUAAGACCGCAUAGGUGUAGAGAUCGCAUGAACUCUAUAUGAAAAGUGCUACGGGACUGGUAGAUGAUGGACUUAUGGCGCAUUAGCUGGUUGGUAGGGUAACGGCCUACCGAGGCGACGAUGCGUAGCCGACCUGAGAGGGUGACCGGCCACACUGGGAAUGAGACACGGCCCAGACUCCUACGGGAGGCAGCAGUAGGGAAUUUUCGGCAAUGGGGGAAACCCUGACCGAGCAACGCCGCGUGAAGGAAGAAGUAAUUCGUUAUGUAAACUUCUGUCAUAGAGGAAGAACGGUGGAUAUAGGGAAUGAUAUCCAAGUGACGGUACUCUAUAAGAAAGCCACGGCUAACUACGUGCCAGCCGCCGCGGUAA